ACAACCUGGGCUGUGUCCUGACCGGGAAUCAAACCGGCACAGGGGCCAGAGGCAAGUUCUGAAUGGCGGCAGGAUGGUGGGAUGACCUGCAGUUAUCAGGUGUUGGCCGUCGUGGAUAAAGCGGACGUAACACCCGAGUGGACACCGGUUUCUAGCUCCUCUGGGUAAAUGCCAGGGGCCACGGCUGCUGGGUCACGUGGUAGGAGAACGUUUAGUUUUGGGAGAAACCAGCCUACUGAUUGGCAUCCCUGGAGUUCUAGAUUUGGGGCCCCUUUACGGGGCUGCGGGUUCUGAGAACGUCACAGACCCGAGUGCACUCCCUCCGCCCGAACCCGGCCCGUCUCCCCAGCUGUGUGGGCUCCGGGAGCCCCUCCGGAACGCGAUGGUCUCAAGUGGACACAAACGGAAAGUCCCUGAAGUCCCUCGGAUGACGCCAGGCGGGAGCAGAGAGGUGGGAGGGGACCUGUGAGCCCUGGUGUUGGAGUCUAGCUUCCGUCCUGGAGGCACCACAGACUGAGAUGACAGCCUGGCCGCAGGGAGCCACGCGGUGGGCCAGGACCCACGGCCGCAGGAAGCCACGUGGUGGGCCAGGACCCACGGUCGCAGGGAGCCACGCGGUGGGCCAGGACCCACGGCGGCGGCAAGCUUGUCCACAUCAGCACAGCAUCAGAGCCUCCAAGGUGCAGGCUGGGAGGGGCCCCGCUGCACAGACGGGAGAUCGAGGCCCAGAGCGGUUAGCUGUCGGCCUGCAGGCAUGAGGUUCCUGGGGCAAAGCUGCCCAGACGCCGGCCGUCUUAGCCCUGCCCCGAGAUACAGAGGGUGUUGGUGGUGGCCGCUCUGUCUGUACUGCUCGGACGCCACUGUGUGCCGUCUCGUCUCGUCCUCACAGCCCUGGGAGCCUGUGUCCCACACCCGUCCUCUGGGAGGGGACACUGGGCCCAGACACACAGAACCGUGGCCCAGGGUCAGAGCAGGAGCUGGGACGCCACCCACAGCGGACGGCUCCUCGUCACCUGAAGUGACAAAACUAAGCUGACGAAAAUAACUGAGGGAGCAGUGGACUCUGUGCACUGGGGCUGGGACGGAGCCGUAAGGAAACUCCCAGAAGGAAAGGGGCCUCUUUUCUUACAACAGCACUGACGUCCCACCCGCUGGCCAUGGAGUUGGAGACCCCAGAGGGCCCUGCUCACCAGGUGACGUGCGAGGGGGCCUCUCAUCAAGGAGGGGGAGCGUCCGGAGCACAGACUCUGGGGCCAGAGCACCUGGGUUCACCCCAGCUCUGUCCUGACCUGCUGUGUGACCUUGGGCAAGUUACUUGACAUCUCUGUGCUCAGUGUCUUCAUCGAACAUGGACAUGAUGGAAGUACUCACAGUGUGGAGUCACGGAAGUUUAAAUGAAAUGCAAUAAGUAGCCCAGCCAGUGUGGCUCAGUGGUU